ACCUGCAUCGAAAGUGAUUAGGGUUUCCUUGUGGCCCAGUCAUUGAUACUGCAGGAAGAGUAAAAUGUUAAAGCUUAUCCCGUGUUUGGCGAGUGUGACUUUGUAUUAGCCAAACCCUGUGACUUUUGCACA
ensembl:snoRNA SNORA71 Small nucleolar RNA SNORA71